ensembl:snRNA U6 U6 spliceosomal RNA
GUGCUCACUUUAGCAGCCCAUACACUAAGAUUAGCGUGGCCCCUGCACAAGGUUGACACGCAAAUUCGUGAAGCAGUCCAUAUUUUU